CUUAACUACGGAAGAAAUCCAAUACAAAUUAAUAAGACCAUAGAAACAGCAGGUUUUAAUAACCUUAACUACGGCAGCGAGUAAUAGCACUGCAACCGCGGGAAUAGGGGUUGGCCUCCGCACCUGGCUGGCAGUUAUAGUAGGAUGCACCUCUCUGGGAGCAUGGCACGGUGUUCCUCUGCAGCGCUCCAUAGCUUAUGUACUGUGUGGUGGCCGUCUGAAGUAACCUCCUGCUAAUCUCAGAGACCAUGUGGAAUUCAUCUUCUCCCAUGCACUCUGCUACAGAGCCUUGACAUCGGGCUUUUGUCGGGAUCCAGCUCAGUUUGUGAUCUCCGCUUGCAUCAAUGGUGGGUGAGGAGAUGAUCAGAGCUGAGAGGAAUAAGUAGAAGGUCAAGAGAAGGAUGGAAGAAU
rnacentral:misc_RNA from 1 species